rnacentral:tRNA from 1 species
UGUCGCAGUAGCACCAGCCACCUGGUUCGGGUGGCUGUCGGCCGCCUGGUGGCCGCGACCCGGUUCGGGUCCGGUGUGUCGCC